rnacentral:piRNA from 1 species
AUGGCUCUUACUGAAGACUAGCAGUU